rnacentral:rRNA from 1 species
UACGUAGGGUGCAAGCGUUAAUCGGAAUUACUGGGCGUAAAGCGCGCGUAGGCGGCUUUGCAAGUCGGGUGUGAAAUCCCCAGGCUUAACCUGGGAACUGCAUUCGAGACUGCAUUGCUAGAGUAUGGGAGAGGGAAGUGGAAUUUCCGGUGUAGCGGUGAAAUGCGUAGAUAUCGGAAGGAACAUCAGUGGCGAAAGCGACUUCCUGGACCAAUACUGACGCUGAGGCGCGAAAGCGUGGGGAGCAAACAGG